rnacentral:tRNA from 1 species
GCGCCCGUAGCUCAACCGGAUAGAGCACCGGUUUUCUAAACCGGUUGUUGCAGGUUCGAGUCCUGCCGGGCGCGCCA